ensembl:miRNA MIR9805 microRNA mir-9805
UCCAGUGAAGGCGUCAGAUAGCCGGGAGCAGGAACCUGGAGCUCGGAGUCGAGCUCAGAGACGCCCAGGGUCUGUCGGAUGUCUCCUUCGUGUG